rnacentral:lncRNA from 1 species
UAAAGGUCUAAAAGACCUUUCUAAAGCUUGCCAUCUAAUGAAUGGCAUGAUCAAAAGAACCAAAUAGAUUGCCAAGCUCCAGGUUCUUCUUAGUGUACCAAGUACAGUAUUUAAGAUAAAAGCAUUACGUGAGCAGGGCCUAGUGUUGCACACCUGUAAUCCCAGCAGUUUUGGAGGUUGAGACAGGAGGAUCGCAAAUUCGAGGCCACCCCUGAGCAACUUAAUGAGACCCUGUCUCAAAAAUACAAAGGACCUAGUAUGUAGCUCAGUAGUCAACUGCCCCUGGGUUAAACUCUCAAUUUUAAAAACCCCCAAAAGACCAACACAUUACACCAUGGAAAUCAUUGCAUCGAAUCCAGAGAAGAUGUUAAAGUAAACGAUUGAAGAAAAAUGCCCAUAAAAAACAGUAGGCAUGGUGCUUUCUAGUGACUUCUAGGUUUAUAGCAAAAUUCCCAGGACAGGUCUGUCUUAAGGUUGAUAGACUGGGUGAGUUUGCAAAUUUAUUAAGUGAGCAAAAUGAAAAAAUUUCAAAAUAGGAGUUAUAUAACUUAAAAAAUUAUUGCCUGUGUGAGAAAUGCAAAUGGC